rnacentral:miRNA from 1 species
UGAAGAGUCAUUGGCUUGGUU